GCCUUUACACAUAUUUAAUUAUCAUAAAGUUCUUAAAAUUGUAGAAAUGAAGUGAAAAUAAGAAUUUACUAAGAUAUAUACAUGUGUCUACACAAAGAAAAGGACAUCACACACACACAUAUCUCUUGAUACACACAGAAUACUUUCAACCUAGGAAUGGAUUCAGAAUACAGGACAAAAUUAGACUGCAACACUGAACUCCUGAGUUCUCCAACAAACGCAGGACCACACACAGGUGACUUUGCAAAAGCAAGAAGGUCAUCCUACUAAGGGUCAUAGCAGCACAGAAACUGAGGGCUACAUCUAGGGAGAAGUGCAAACACAAAGACAGUAGUUCAAUGCACACACUCAUGAUUCUCAGUCACUCAACAAUUAUUGGUCAUAUAAAUCAGUGUACAAAUUAAAUGUUCGAAAAUGUGCAAAAAGUCAACAUUGAUAGAAAACAAAAAAUAUUUGUACAUAAUUAUAAACUGCCCAGUAUUCAACUGAGAUUAAAAACAUUUGCUGAAAAUAAUACAUUAAAUAUAAAGAAUUUAAUGGAUACAUUUUAAAUGUACAUUAAGUCAAAGGGUAAAUUUACAAAUUUAUAAUCAUAGUUUGCAAGAUAAAAGUUUAUUUUCAAAUUUAUCCAAGUUUAUUUACAAUGAGUAAAAACAACCACAUAAAAUAUAAGAGAUGUCAGACAUUAAAGGUGUUUUUGGUAUUAACUUUGUUAAGAUAUUUCAGAAUGCAGGCUAAAUUUUAAAACCAACAGCAAUGGAAGAAAUGUAAACCUUUUACUUACUAAUUAUUAAAAAACUGUCUAUAAAGACGUAUUCUCAUCCCUAGACAAUAUGGUUUUAAUUGACAAGGGUUUGGCCCACUUCCUUUUGCCCAUAAGCCUUUCUGGCUUGUAGAGUCCCACACUAGUCUACUCUCCUUACUGCGAGGAGGAAAAAAGUCUUUGGAUAACUGAGAACAUGUCAAAUAUAUUCUGGAGUCAAUGCAUCUACUAGAGUUUAACAUAUAAUUAAUUACUUAUCUUCUGUUCUAAGUGAUGCUAAUGCUAAAAUCAUUGAAUAUACAGGAUUUUUUUAAGUUCUAAAUACAAAUAAACGAAUACAAAGUGCUUUUCAGAAUAGUCAUAAACUUUUCUCAACUGGCAUUACAAGACCCAUAAAUCCUCAGUGGGGGUCAGAUUCUAUAAGGUUUAAAGAAGAGGGAGCAGAUGUUCCAAAUGUUUGUGGCACAAAGCAGACCAGUUCAUAACCUACUUCUCUUCACAGCAGUGUUGAAAGUCCCUUACGUCAAACACAAACUCAUAAAUGUUAAGACACUAGAAAGACGAUGAGCCACCCACAGAGGCAUCAGACGUCAACACAAAUCUCACACCAGGGGUCAAAGGGUGUGGGUGAGCCUGGCACGCUGAAGAACUUAGGUCUGCAGUGUCUAGGAGCUCCACAGUAGCAAGGAUUCUGCAUGUCUAAUGCAGACUCUUAGCACCUGUCCUUUUCCUUAAGGAGAAGAAGAUUGGCAACAAAGUCUACUAGCAUCUGCUCUACCAUUCAGACACUAUUACCUCACACAUGGGCAAAUGUAUCAGGGCUAAUCAUUUUGGCUAUGUAUGCAGGGAAUACAAAAGCUUUGGUUUAAAGUGAUUCUGGCAACACAGACUGAGGUACAAACAAACAUCACCAGGCAGAAGGACAGGAGUCUUCUCUUGUUUAAUGUCUUUGCUGUUGGGAACAGAAUACCUUACCACUGUCUAUUAAAAUACACAAAAACAUGAAGAAUUCUAUGAGACUGUCUCCAGGCAAUGGAUACAACGCAUUCUCUUUUCACUAUAGCUAUGACUCCUCCCUGGUCUUCCUGAAGCUCAGCCAUGACCACUAUCAGUACCUCUGAGAAAAGAAGUCUUGGUUCCCAUGAAAGCUAUCCAUCUCCAGCUCUGACAGCGAGAAUGGAAAGGAGGAUGGCCCAGGUAUUCCCACAGCACGCACAGCAUCCUGUCAGACAAUGGCAGAAGUGGAAGCAGCACUAAAGAUGAGGGUGAAGUGGACAGUGGCUCACAGCACACCUUCCCCAGCAACCAACAAGAGGUAUAAGAACAUUGCCUUUUGAUGGCUUGGUAAACUAAGGAAGCUUGUUUAGAUAAUGUCUGGCAGAAUUUCUACUCCAAAAAGUUCAUGAAGAAAUAUGUAAGAUUCCAUACUUUCUAUUGAAGAAUUAUAUAUAAGCUAAUUACUACAGACACAAACAAACAAAUUGAAUUUUAACCUACUUUUAGCAAUUCAGAGCUUGGCAACUUACAAUAAAUACCUUUAUUAACAAUCAUUCAUACUAGCUACUUAUGGAAAAUGUCCUGGCAUGACUACUUGAGGAUGACCUUUCUCAUCCCAUAUAGUAAAUCAGACAUUUUUCAGUUGUUCUUCCAAGAGGAGAGACAGAUCUAACUGAACAACUACACGUUCCUACCCCUGCCCCUACUAUACACACACACACACACACACACACACACACACACACACACACACACACACACACUUCACAACUUCACAGAACAGUAAGCUAGAGUAUUGGUCAAAUGUUACAUACUAAGAAUUAGAGUUUGUUGUCCCUGGAUUCUUGCUCAUCGCCUCAACCUUCAUGAAACACUUAUAGGAGCUCUUUAGGACAAAACAACUGCCCUAGUUCUAGGAAAACCACAACCAAACAAUAAUACACAAAGAACUUGAG
ensembl:lncRNA